CCCCCGCCUAGAGCACAGCCAGAGAACUCAGCCCCCGCUGCAGACCAGGAGCGCGAGGUGAGCUGGCUUCUUUCCAGGGGCCGGACCCAGGCAGAGUGACCACACUCUACCAGUCCAGGAGCUGUGAGCUGCGUGGAAAGAAUGUGAGUGAAGACACAAUUCUAAAUGUAGAACCACGGACGCUAUGUGAGCUGGCUCUCUAAUCAUCCAGAAAAACAAGGCCUGCGUGUACAUUCUGCAAGAGCAUAAAUAAAGUUGUCCUCAGGCAGCGGGCGACGGCAGCCCAUCCUCGCAGUGACUUCCCGGGUCCCAGCUCGCGGCACAACCCCUGGAACAUGGCGGGAGAGGCCCAGCGGCCUGAGGGCAUGGGUGAAAAUGGCCUCGCUCUUGCCCGGAUGCGCAUGGUUCUCCCUAACCUUCUUCUGCAGCAACCUGGCUCUGGUCUGCAUCGGGCUUAUUCAGAAAUGUUCAAAAGCUGAUAGUGGGGGCAACACAAGACCUCUUGUUAGGAGGGCUCAGCAGACUUCUCUUCACUAGCGUUCAUUUUUCUUUACAAGCUGUUUGGAUAAACUACAGGAUGGUGGAGCAUUUCCUGGGCUUAAUAAUAACAACAAAAUAAUAAAUGCUAGCUCAUACUUACCAACCUUUACUCGGUGCCCUGCACUGUCCUGAGUCUUUACCUAAAUUAACCUUGACGCUGUACACUCUUUAUCUUAGGGCCUGGCACCGUUUUGUUCUGGCCCCACAAAUUGCCACCUGUCAGGGAGCUAAGCAAAGACACGAUAAGGAAACCAGUAUUUCCUGAGCAUGCGUUAUGUGCCGGGCACUGCCUGUGGGUUCUUCUAUCGAAUCCUCACGCUAUCCCAGUGUGAUGUCUGUUCAUACCCCCCACUUUACAGAUGAGUAGACUGAGGCCUGCAGAGGUCCUGGAUGUCAUUCAGCUAACAGUGGUCCUGAGGAUGCUGAUGAAGAUUUGUCUGUCUGCCUGUCCAGUCUGUAUAUCUCUGUUGCACCCCCCACCUCCAACAAAAGCGUGCUCCCAGCCCAAGUCCAGGGAACAUGGCUGCCUUCCAUCCACCUGUUUUCCUUGCCUCUCCGUGGCAAGAGAGUAAAGUCUGGCCAGGGCACCUCCUUAGCUACUGAUUUGUUAUGGGAACUGAGGGGAUUCUGUACCUCAGUGUCGGCACAGUGAAAGCAUAUCCUCGGGGCUGAUGGCAGGAUGGGACGUCACUGUAGGGGACACUGCUGGAGCUCGGCCUCACAGGGCUGCUCACCUGCUGAGGGGCCAGAGCAAUCAGACCCCUCCCUUCCGAUGGACUUUCUCACCAGGAACUCUGAGUUGGCUCCUUUGUGAAGGGACUUUACAUGGUAAUGCGUGUCUGGUGCCUAGCUCAGAGGGGCCGGAUUUAUCGAGGUGGAGUGGGGACACCCUGCUUGUGGCUUGCAGCUGGAAAACGCCCCACUGACUGAGGUUGCUGGUACCUCUUCCCUAGGGCUGCUGCUCUCCUAGCCUCACUGGCCUGGUGCCAUAGUCAGCUGAGAGUCACCUGGGCCAAGGGCUUCAGAAUUCUUUGCUUCGGACUCUCCAGUGAAAGAUUUCAGCGCAAGAAAUAGAACCUGUGCUAGGAAACAAGCAAUUCCCAGGUGGUGCUUACCCUGCUGGCCCAAGGACCACCCCCUCGAGAAGAAAGAGCUGCUACUGGCCAAGCGAGGCCAAUGCCACUGCUGGGACAGGUGGCUCACUGGGAGCUGCUGUUUCAGAGAAGCUUCUCACUCAAGGUGAAGCUUUGUCCUCCCUGCAUCUCUGAGGUAGAUUUACAGGAUUUCUCAUUAAAAAAAGCAAGCAUUCCCUGAGCUGGAGCAGAAAAUGUAUAAGAAAGAGUCUGGAACCCUGUGUCACACUGAAGGGCAAGCAAGCAGAGGAAACCCCUCGGGAGGAUAUCAAAAGAACAGGGGCCAACUCGAAGAACUUCCCCACAGUUAAAAGUGGGAUGAUACAGUGUGUGAAAACACCAUGUGGGCUGAGACACAUUGAAACUGCUUGAGCCCAUGAGUACACAAUGAUACUGAAAAAAAAUAACAGCUCAAGCCUCUCUCCGUGGCCUGAUGUAAAAAGCAGCCUCUUUCUUUUGAAAAGGGGAACAGGGUUGAGUACCUCACCUGACUUUCCUGUGUGAACCAUACAAAACAGUUUAAGGAGCCAAGUGAUGGAUGAAGGAAAGUUUCUCUGAUACAGAAGGAAGGGUAGAACAAGAAUAUUAUCAGUUCCAAACUCCUGGCGAAACAGUGGGUCGAGAUGACAAUCACCAACGGGCCCCCGAUGAAAAUACACAUUACCCAUGAAGUAUUCUUGUCAAAAAACCAAGCCUAAAUCAGAACAAGUUCCUGACCCUGGAUUUCACUACCAGAUUAAAAGAAUAACAAGGACAAAAAAAUCAUGAAAUGACACCGUGAGGAAGCAAGGAGCAAAACUGGGGUAUGGACAACUCUACGGGACAAGUGACUGAUAUCUUUUCACAUAAACCAUUGAAGUUGAGGCAAGUGGGAUGACAUGAUUAAAAGACACCAAUUAAACACCACCUAUAGAUUCUGUUUGGAUCCUGAUUUCAACAAACCUAGCAAACACUUGUGAGACAACUUGAAAAAUUUGAGCACAGCCUGGGUAUUUGAUGAUACUCAGGGACCAUGGCUCCUGUUUUUAGGUGUGGUAAUGGUAUGUUCAAGAAAGAAUCUUUAUUAUUUAGCAAGAUCUACACUCAUACUUAUGAAUAAAAUGAGAUGAUAUCUGGGGUUUACUUCUAAGUCAUACAGUAUAUGGGGACAUGGGUUGAAGUGCAUGAAACAGGAUUUUU